GAGACUCUGUGCGCGUGCAUAUCAAUAAGCGGAGGAAAAGAAACUAACAAGGAUUCCCCUAGUAACGGCGAGUGAAGCGGGAAGAGCUCAAAUUUGAAAUCUUAAAGGGUUUCCCUUUACGAAUUGUAGUUUAAAGAAGUGUUUUCUGUUGGAGUUUCGGUAAAAGUUCUUUGGAAUAGGACAUCAUAGAGGGUGAGAAUCCCGUAUUUGACCGUUACUUUCCAGCUGUGUGAUACACUUUCAAAGAGUCGGAUUGUUUGGGAAUGCAGUCCAAGAUGGGUGGUAAAUUUCAUCUAAAGCUAAAUAUUGGCGAGAGACCGAUAGCGGACAAGUACCGUGAGGGAAAGAUGAAAAGAACUUUGAAAAGAGAGUUAAACAGUACGUGAAAUUGUCAAAAGGGAAGCGUUUGACACCAGUGUUGUUUAGUUGAAAAUCAAUUCAAUAGUUUUUGAUUCUAAGUAGUAUUGACUUCAUCAGCUUGCUGCUUUCUUCCCAGAAAUUAUUGAAUGCACUUUUCAGUUAACAAGUCAACAUCAAUUUCUUUUGUUGUAAAAGGGUAAGAGGAAGGUGGCUUGCGCUUCGGCUCAAGUGUUUAUAGCCUUUUAUCUCUGCAAUCGGAGAGAUUGAGGUCUGCAGCGUAGAUCCUUCGGGGUUAGAUACAUUGGUGCUAAGCUAUAGCCUUGUAUAGACAACUUGUUGACUAUGCUCAGUCAUGUAGCUUACUCGCUGAUGCUAUUUUACCUACGCUUAGGAUGUUGACAGCAGUAUAGACUGU
rnacentral:rRNA from 1 species